GAAAAUAUAUUUCAUUAGAUGAAAUGGUUACAAGGCUCAAACUUACAUAAAAGAACUGUUACAUUAAACCCAAGGCUAGAAACAAAAAGAUCCAAUUUCUAAAAAUCCUGGGCUGGAUGGGUCAGACCUGGUUGCCCAACCUUCAUCAGCUGCCAAUCUCAACAUCAUUUUCUCUAGCAGAUUCUUUAUCAGCUUUCAUAGAGAUCGGCAAGGCAACUGUAGUUUCAACCAUACAAGGGAGCAAAAUCACCCUACUCAACACAUGCAAGCCCAAGGGAAAUCAGGAAAAAGUAGCAAACCAGAGAGGAAACGGGACUAGGGCCAUGUCGAACGAAUUCAGAAAGAGCUUGGCAAAGGUGCCUAGGAAUGGUACCAACAUCUAACUGCCAGCCAAUACUUGCUUCGAAGAGCUACAUAACAACCUAUAAGGGGACUAGUUUCAACAUGCAGAGCCUCCUUUUAUACCCAACAAAAGCCCCAUUCUAAAGAGAGGCACUAGAAACUCCAUAAUGGAGACUAAGAAAAGACUAGAAGAAAACAAACAAAAAGCUACACUACUGAAGGAAAAUGAGGAAGGGGGAAGGUUGACAGCCAUAGAUGGUCAGACC
rnacentral:misc_RNA from 1 species